GGGGGAUCAAAGGGGAUGACAGAAUCGCCAGGAUCGCCAGGUUCAGGAAAGAAGACGUCGUCGUUGAUGGAUAAUCUUCUGGGUUUGCUUAGAAUUCGCAUCAAACGCGGCGUUAACCUCGCCGUUCGUGAUGUUCGUAGCAGCGAUCCUUAUGUCGUUGUCAAGAUGGGCAGACAGGUUUUGGCCUCUGUAACUUUGAUUUAUUCCUGUAUCUUGUCAAGAUUAUGUUUUGAAUGGAUUUUGAUGGGUAUUUUUUGAUGAUAAUUCCAACCCAUUUUUCAAUUUGGGAUUCUGAAUGUUAAUUGUUGCAGAUUCUAAUCUUGUGAGUGUUGAAAAUUUGAUUUGAUGCAGAAACUGAAGACUCGAGUAAUAAAAAAGGAUGUUAAUCCAGAGUGGAAUGAGGAUUUAACUCUUUCUGUUACAGAUCCUAAUCUUCCAGUCAAGCUGACUGUGUAUGAUCAUGACACAUUUAGCAAAGAUGAUAAAAUGGGAGAUGCAGAGAUUAGUAUCAAAGCAUUCAUAGAGGCCUUAAGGAUGAAUGUGGGAGGACUUCCUAAUGGUACCAUAAUCACAAGAGAACAACCUAGCAGGCAAAAUUGCUUGGCUGAAGAAAGCUGCGUCUCUUAUACUGAUGGUAAGGUGAUUCAAGAUAUGUGCCUCAGAUUAAGAAAUGUAGAAUGUGGUGAAGUGGAAAUCCAACUCCAAUGGAUUGACCUUCCUGGUUCCAAGGGUUUAUAAAAAUAUGGAUUUUUCUUAUUUAGACUCAGUCCAUCAUAUACUCAAUAUACAUAAAUUCAUAUGUUUGUAUCUUGAAUCCAUGAUGAACUAAGUCCACGCAAGAAUUUCCCAAAAAAGGCUAUCCAUUUAUUGACCUUUGUUGCAUAUGAUGAGUUGGGGGCUGGUUUCAAGCAUCCACCACCAGUUGUACUGCUAGUUUAAUUCAUGGUGGGGUUGCUUUGUUUAUAGUUUUGGUUUAAAAGCUUACCUUGUAUGUAGGAUUUGGCAAUUUUGGUUCUUUAUCAUCUUCUUGAAUAUUACAAGUUCAAUGUGCAGUUCUGCUUUGUGCUGG
rnacentral:misc_RNA from 1 species